CUCUGCCAGGUCUCUGCCAGCCCCGCCCAUACCCUCAGAGCAGAGGCCAGGCCAGAGUUCAAGGAGAUCUGGGACAGAUGCAGGCCGACUGCACCCUGCAGGCACAGCUGGGCCUAGGAGCAGGGGCUUUUGUCCAUCUGUGCUCUGUGGAGUGAGGGAGCUUUUUCUUCUCUGGCCUUGCUGUCCUUUCCUGUGGUAUAGGAGACCCCAUUUGUCUAUGCCAUGAGACCAUGUACUCCUCCUGGAGCCCAGGGUGGGGUUCCCUCUUGGCCCCAGCCCAAUCCAGGGUUGGACAGGACAUGCCUGCUUACUGAGGGAUGAAUAAAUGAGAAACUCACGUCCCCAGAGGCUGAGGGACCUGCACAAACCCCAGGCCUUCUCCUGGCCACUCACACCCCUCUGAUGUUGCCCUAAAGACCUCAGGGCCUCCAGGUGCAGAGGCUCACACCUGUAGCCUCAGCACUUUGGGAGGCCAAGGUGGGUGAAUCACUUAAAGCCAGGAGUUCAAGACCAGCCUGACCAACAUGGCAAAACCCCAUCUCUCCUAGAAAUACAGAAAUUAGCCAGGCAUGGUGGCAGGCACCUGUAAUCCCAGCUACUCAGGAGGCCGAGGCAGAAGGAUUGCUUGAACCCAGGAGGCAGAAGUUGCAGUGAGCCGAGAUCACGCCACUGCACACACCAGCCUGGGAAACAGUGCGAGACUCCAUCUCAAAAAAAAAAAAAAAAAAAAAAAACCCUCAGUGCCCCCAACAGCAGGGGCUGCUGAUAGGGUGAGUUAGGCCUCCAGACCAGGGAGUGGGGAGGGGCCAGGCUGGGCCUUGGAAUUUAGAGCCUUGGGGCCCCUGGGAAAUUCACCUCAAAAAUUACCUUAGAAAUUCAAGAGAGGGCCAGGCGCAGUGGCCCACGCCUGUAAUCCCAGCAUUUUGGGAGCCUGAGGCAGGUGGAUCACCUGAGGUCAGGAGUUUGAAACCAGCCUGGCCAACAUGGUCAGAACCCAUCUCUACUAAAAAUACAAAACUUAGCCGGGCGUGGCGAGUGCCUGUAAUCCCAGCUACUCGGGAGGCUGAGGCAGAGACUUGCUUGAACCCAGGAGGUGGAGGUUGCAGUGAGCCGAGGUCGCACCACUGCACUCCAGCCUUGGCAACAGAGCAAGAAACCGCCUCAAAAAAAAAAAAAAUUAGCUGGGUGUGGUGGCGGGCGCCUGUAAUCCCAGCUACUUGGGAGGCUGAGGCAGGAGAAUCGCCUAAACGUAGGAGGCCGAGGUUGCAGUGAUCCGAAAUCUUGACAUUGCACUCCAGCCUGGGCAAAAAGAGCAAAACUCCAUCUCAGAAAAAGAAAAAAAGAAACUCGAGAGAGUUAAUUGAGGAUGUGUAAACCACACUUGAGAGAUCCCUUGGAGGGCUGCCCUGCAGUGUCAUGGACAGAAUGUUUUUCUAGCAGCUGAUAGAACCGGCCACAAACUCCCUGUGAGAUCUGAGCAAGUUACAUCUUCUUGGAGCCUCAGUUUCUCCAUCUGCAAAGCUGGGCAGGGAACCGGGGAGCCUUUGCCCAGUUUCUGGCCCUAGAAUUCCUGAUUGGAUGAAGAUCUUCAGGGGUCUUGGGGUAAGAGCUGGAAUGUGGCCACAGGCCCUUUGUGACGCAUGGGUGGGAUCUGGGAUUGGGGGUUUGGACCCAGCUACCUUGGAAGCUGCCUGUGUCAGGGCUUGGGAGGAAUGGUCCAGGUGCAGCCCGCAGAGCCACGAGAGGGCAUCCAUGCCAGGAGGCCACAUCCCAAAGUCCAGGGGCAGUGGAGGCCCAUGUGAUGUCCCUGGGUGGCAGGCAUGGUCCAGGGGAAAGUGCCCACCACGUGCUACCUCACCCAGCCCUCUGACAUGGGUAUCAUGAUUGUCAUUUUGCCAAAGAGGAGUGCCCAGAGAGGGCAAGUGUAUUUUCAGAGUCACACAGCUGUGUCUAGGGCAUCUUCAGCUCCUGCCAUCCAGAACAGUGGCAGCAGCUCAAUCUUGAGCCCAGAAUGACUCCCACCUCCAGCCUGGCCCUAUGGUCCUCUUCUGUCCUCUGUCCAUAGAGCACCUCUGUCUCCCUGCAGGCUGCAAGCAUCUCAAGGACAAGACCAGGUUGUAGAAUAACCCCUUUCACCGGCUACAGGAUUUUACCUUUCACAAAGCACUCCCUCUCCCUCUUCUGCACAGAACUCUGAAAGGCAGACAUGAGCCCCGUGUGACCCAGGAGAACUCCAAGGCCCUGAGAAGUUGGAGGCCUUGCCCGAAGUUCACAGCUCCUAGGAGACAGGGCCACAGUCCAGAUCUGUCUGACCCAAGCCUGGGCUUAUGUUGUGCUCCACCCUCCCUCAGAUAAACCAAGAAGGGCCAACUUGCUAAUGGGGAAAUGCAGGCAGGGCCACAAGACCACCCCUCUUUCCACACAGUCACAUGCAAGCUACAGUCAGGUCCAUUUUGUCAGGGAAAGUGCAGACUGUUAGAAGCCAAGAAACUUGAGUGUAAUGUGGGCAUCCAGGCAGAGUGAAGCCCUGGGGAGUAAGUUCCCCUAGCUCGCCCUGCUGCUGGCAACCAUGCCCAGUGCCUGGCUCGGCCUCCCUGGCUGCUCUGAGAGGCCUGGCCCGGGCUCUGCAGGCGCUGGAGCCAGCGGAGGCAUCUGGAUCCCAUAAGCUUGUCAUGAGCUGGUUUGAGCAGAAUGGCCUCAACAGCCCCCAGAGAGCCCCCCUCACCCCUGGCUGCACUGAUGCAACUCCCAUCUGUCCCCAGCCCACAGCAGCUCCCAGGGAUGGAGAGUGUGAAUCCUCAGGGAGGGUUGUCUAGAGGCCCUGGGCUGGACGGGGAUCCCAUGCUGACCGGUGGACACGGCCCCGAAUCCCCCUGCACUGCACUUGCUGCUCUGUUUUGCCUGUAAGCAUCUCCCCCAUCAGACCGAGCUCCUCCAGGAUAAGAACUGUGUCUGAUUUAUCUGUGAGCUGCCAGCAUCGCCCUGCCUGGGACCUGGCACAAAGGAAGUGUCAGGUGACUGCUAAAUGAAUGAGUGAAGGAAUGAAUGGAUGAAGCAUCGUCUCCAUGAAUCAGCCAGGGUCCAGUUAGGAAAACAGGAACCUUAUGAGUUAUUUUACCAUAAAGUAUUUAAUGUGUAGGGAGUUAGCUAAAGAGGCAUUGACAAAGCCAUAAAGAGAACCCUGAAGGCAGCAGAAAAGGCCAUCUCCAAGAAGCAGCUACCACACCAGAGGAGGCGAGACGAAGAGGUGGGAGCUACUAGAGCCUAGAAGCUUGGAGGGGGUGCCCGGGGCUAGAAGUCACACCUCUAGGCAGGGCACAGUGGCUCACAGCUGUAAUUCCAGCAUUUUGGGAGGCCGAAGCAGGUGGAUCACUUGGGCCCAGGAGUUCAAGAUCAGCCUGGCUAACAUGGUAAAACCCCGUCUUUACUUAAAAAAAAAAAUACAAAAAAUUAGCUGGGCAUGGUGGCAGGCGCCUGCAGUCCCAGCUACUUGGGAGGCUGAGGCAGGAGAAUCGCUUGAACCUGGGAGACAGAGGUUGCAGUGAGCCGAGAUAGCACCACUGCACUCCAGCCUAGGUGACAGAGUGACACUCUGGCUCGAAAAAGAAGUCACACCUCUGAGGAGGAGGAGAGGCUGCCCAGCCUCAGGAUCUUGGAGAAGGGAACCCCCCUGAGGCAGCACCCAGGCCUCAAAGGAGGGAGUGCCAGAGCCUCUGAGCAGCUGGUUCUCGGAGCACAGAGAGAACUUUGGAACUGUGUGCUGCUGCUGACUGAAGAGCCAUCAGCAGGGUGAUUUUGGCAGGACACUGAGCAAAUAAGGAAUAAGUCUUUCCUCUCUCCUCCAGCCUUCCAGUCUCUCUCUAGUCUCUCCUGUUGGCAGAGCACAACAGGCUGCCAGAUGGCAAAGGAGACACGCAGUGUGCAGAGGCUCCCACCCAAGCAGGGGGCCGGGAGCCCAGCCCCAUAGCAUGGGCGGCCCCACUAACACAGGUGCACCUCCAUCAACAGCAACAAGCAUGUCAUCCUUCUGCUUCGAGUGAUGGACCUUCUCUUCCUAGAAAGAUACUUUCACUCCCUUCCCCCAGAGGAGACACAAAGUCCAAAGGAUCACUGUGUCCAUCUCUGGGAAAGGUUAAUUACUCUUCCAAGUCAACCACAACCUCACCUGUGUGUUCUGCAAUCUAAAGAAUACAUUUUAGGCUGGGCGCGAUGUGGCUCGUGCCUGUAAUCUCAGCACUUUGGGAAGCCGAGGCAGGAAGAUCACUUGAGCCCAGGAGUUUGAGACCAGCCUGGGCAACAUGGCAAAACCCCAUCUCAACAAAAAAUACAAAAAUUAGCCGGGCAUGGUGGUGCAUGCCUGUAAUCCCAGCCAUUCAGGUGGCUGAGGAAUGAGAAUUGCUUGAACCCAGAAGGCGGAGGUUGCAGUGAGCCGAGAUCACUGCAUUCCAGCCUGGUUGACAAUUCCAGCCUGGGUGACAGAGUAAGACGCCAUCUCAAAAAUAAAAAGAGAGAGAGAGAGAAG
rnacentral:lncRNA from 10 species